rnacentral:misc_RNA from 1 species
AAGUCGUAACAAGGUUUCCGUAGGUGAACCUGCGGAAGGAUCAUUAACACGUUAUCCACGUAUCUACCUCUUGCGAACUUUUUACUGUUUAACAGUCGGCAGACCAGCGUAGAUGAUGGAGGUAGAUGUUACUAUGUCCAGUGGCCACAGCCCUGGUUCUACCUGCCUACCUAAUCCCCUCCUCCCUAACAAAAAACCGUACCUGAAUAAAAAAUGUGGUGUUUAUUUGGGGACGUUUUUGUGUGUGUGUGUGUGUGUGGGUUAGAUAUUCUGGUUCAUAUGACUCGAAUCAUAGUAGUUUUUUAACUUAUUCACCCUUUUUUACUUAAUUUGUUGAAUUGUGAUGGUCUUGGAGGUAACACUUCGUGACUCACGUAAAUAAAACACUAUACAACUCUUAGCAACGGAUAUCUCGGUUCUCCUAUCGAUGAAAAACGCAGC